UUGGAGGGCAAGUCUGGUGCCAGCAGCCGCGGUAAUUCCAGCUCCAAUAGCGUAUAUUAAAGUUGUUGCAGUUAAAAAGCUCGUAGUUGAAUUUCGGGACUAGUACGUUGGUCGUGCCUUAGGUACGUACUGGUGUUACUGGUUCCUACCUUCUGACGAACCAUUAUGUCAUUAAUUUGGUGUGGUGGGGAAUCAGGACUGUUACUUUGAAAAAUUGAGUGUUUAAAGCAGGCUCGCGCUUGAAUACAUUAGCAUGGAAUAAUGAAAUAGGACGUUG
rnacentral:rRNA from 1 species